rnacentral:rRNA from 1 species
AUACGGAGGGUACAAGCGUCGUUCGGAAUCACUGGGCGUAAAGGGCGCGCAGGCGGUUUGGUAAGUCAGAUGUGAAAGCCCACGGCUCAACCGUGGAAGUGCAUUUGAAACUGCCAGACUUGAGUACCAGAGGGGAAAGUGGAAUUCCCGGUGUAGAGGUGAAAUUCGUAGAUAUCGGGAGGAAUACCGGUGGCGAAGGCGACUUUCUGGCUGGAUACUGACGCUGAGGCGCGAAAGCGUGGGGAGCAAACAGGAUUAGAUACCCCAGUAGUCC